AGGCAUCACGGUACACAGAUAUAACCUUUACUUGUUUACAUUGCAGCGCCGCCCAGUUACUCAGCUACCCUGGCAAAAAUAAGAUCCCGCUCAACUAUCACAUUGUGGAGGUGAUUUUUGGAGAACUUUUUCAGCUGCCCUCUCCCCCUCACAUUGAUGUAAUGUACACGUCACUGCUGAUCGAACUUUGCAAACUGCAGCCAGGCUCGCUGCCACAAGUUUUAGCCCAAGCCACAGAGAUGCUCUACAUGCGACUGGACACCAUGAACACCACCUGCAUCGACAGACUCAUCAACUGGUUCUCCCACCAUUUGAGCAACUUCCAGUU